rnacentral:rRNA from 1 species
UAGUCCACGCCGUAAACGAUGUCAACUAGCCGUUGGGCUCCUUGAGGACCUAGUGGCGCAGCUAACGCGAUAAGUUGACCGCCUGGGGAGUACGGCCGCAAGGUUAAAACUCAAAUGAAUUGACGGGGGCCCGCACAAGCGGUGGAGCAUGUGGUUUAAUUCGAUGCAACGCGAAGAACCUUACCAGGCCUUGACAUCCUGCGAACUUUCUAGAGAUAGAUUGGUGCCUUCGGGAGCGCAGUGACAGGUGCUGCAUGGCUGUCGUCAGCUCGUGUCGUGAGAUGUUGGGUUAAGUCCCGUAACGAGCGCAACCCUUGUCCUUAGUUGCCAGCACGUAACGGUGGGAACUCUAAGGAGACUGCCGGUGACAAACCGGGAGGAAGGUGGGGACGACGUCAAGUCAUCAUGGCCCUUACGGGCCUGGGGCUACACACGUGCUACAAUGGCCGGUACAGAGGGGUUGCCAAGCCGCGAGGGUGGAGCUAAUCCCAGAAAACCGGGUCGUAGUCCGGGAUC